rnacentral:lncRNA from 1 species
ACAGCAGAAAUGACAAGGCAUAACAAGUCAUGUAAGGGAGCUCUUUGGUUUUUCCUGGGAGUUAAAGUAAAGAUUUAUCUCCUCUUAAUUUUUCCAGUGGGUAGUAAACAAACUUCUCUAAGCCUCUUCUGGUAAGGGCUUCCGAGAUAGUUUUUACAUGCAGGAAGAGAGAAUAAGUGCAGGCAACGUCCAAGGUCCUCUUGUUUUGCAGAUCACUGCACAACAGACCCUCAGGCAGAACAAGUUUAGAUAGUGACUCUUAACCAAAGUACAAGUUAGCAUCACCUGGAAGACUUUACUAAGCAUGGUUGGCUGAGAGUCUGUGGGAGCAGAAGAGGAAACUGAGGCUUUAGAGAACUGUAGCACAUUGGCAAGGACAUCCAGCUCAUGAACACCCUCAGCCUUCAGCAUGAGAACAGGGACAUCAGCCUGCUUUGCCCAUGGAACUGUCUCCAGAGCCUACAACAAUGCUCAGCCUAUGAGAGGUGUCUCCUAGAAGACUUUCCAUUUCAACAAGCCUCAUUUAUAUGCAACUGGCAAUUUCUCUAAACAGAAGAAAAGGGGAGAUUUUGCCAAUCAAUUGGCUUCACCAUCCCCCAGCCCCAAAGUGUGUUUAAGAACAUUUGCCUGUGCAUGCAUGUGUUUUCCUUUGCAUCCCACAAGAGGAAGGGUCUCGCUCUGUGGCCCAGGCUGGAGAGUAUGGUGCAAUCAAGGCUCACUGCCCCAUGUUCAAGCCAUCCUCCCACCUCAGCCUCCCAGAUAGCUGGGACUAGAGACACACAUCACCACGCACGGCUCUGGGUUACUUCAAUAAGUAUUUUUCAAUAAAUAUUUCUUCAAUAAAUAUUUAAUAACACAAA